ACCCAGCAGUCAGCUGCAACUCUCAGCCAUAGCUGCCUUAUUAAAUAUGAAGUUUUUAUUUUAAACACAGUACAUUUUGUAACAGGAAAAUCAAUACAGAGUAACCCAGAGUACAGCAGUCAACAGCUGGGAGACGUAAUCUAAUGAGAGAAAGUUGAGAACAGGAUUUUGGCAGUUUUAUAUUCAGCAAAUCUCUCACUUGUUGUUUUUCAUGGCACUGAGUUCUAAAGAUCUGAGAUUUCUCCCCAAAGAGUCACAAGACGAAGAAACCAAGAAACCACUUUCGACAUUAAAGGCUAUUAUCUACAGAAUAAAUCAUUACUUAUAUUUUGCUUUAUAGGCUACUGUAAAAGGAUGACUCUUCCCAGAGCUGCGAUGAGUUAACAACAUCAGUGACCUCAGAGCCCCGAGCAAAGACUCAGGAAGAUACUUCAACAUCAGAAGACUAAAGGUGUGCACUGCAGGGUCCUGUGGCCAACGCCGAGUUAAGAUCGCGGUGUUCCCCCGGUGUCACCCGGCCGGCGUUGCCGUCUAGUGCUGUCCCCAGUGCUGUCCCCUGCUGUCCCCACGGCUGUCCCCUCACUGUCCCCGCACUGACAGGGCACUGUCACGCAGUGCCUGCACCGCCACCGCACAGUCCCCAACAGCCACUGGCAUCACCGCACUGUC